GGCCCGCACAAGCGGAGGAACAUGUGGUUUAAUUCGAUGAUACGCGAGGAACCUUACCCGGGCUUGAACUGCAGGGGAACGAAUCAGAGAUGAUGAGGCCCUUCGGGGCUCCUGCGGAGGUGCUGCAUGGUUGUCGUCAGCUCGUGCCGUGAGGUGUCGGCUUAAGUGCCAUAACGAGCGCAACCCCUGUCUUCAGUUGCCAUCAGGUUAUGCUGGGCACUCUGUAGAUACUGCCACCGCAAGGUGUGAGGAAGGUGGGGAUGACGUCAAAUCAGCACGGCCCUUACGUCCGGGGCUACACACGUGUUACAAUGGCGCAUACAGAAGGCAGGCCGCCGGCAACGUCGGCCGAAUCGUUAAAAUGCGUCUCAGUUCGGAUUGGGGUCUGCAACCCGACCCCAUGAAGCUGGAUUCGCUAGUAAUCGCGCAUCAGCCAUGGCGCGGUGAAUACGUUCCCGGGC
rnacentral:rRNA from 1 species